CCUAACUCGUGGACGUGGAUAACCUCGGGAAACUGAGAAUAAACCACGAUAGAUCAUAGUGCCUGGAAUGGCUUAUGGUCCAAACAGUUUACUGCCAUGGGAUGGGACUGCGGCCUAUCAGCUUGUUGGUGAGGUAAUGGCCCACCAAGGCGAUUACAGGUACGGGCUCUGAGAGGAGAAGCCCGGAGAUGGGUACUGAGACACGGACCCAGGCCCUAUGGGGCGCAGCAGGCGAGAAACCUUAGCAAUGUGCGAAAGCACGACUGGGUCAGUCCGAGUGAUUCCUGAUAAAGGAGUCUUUUGCUUGUCCUAAAAGCACAGGUGAAUAAGGGGUGGGCAAGUCUGGUGUCAGCCGCCGCGGUAAUACCAGCACCUCGAGUGGUCAGGACGUUUAUUGGGCCUAAAGCAUCCGUAGCCGGCUUUGCAAGUCUUCGGUUAAAUCCACCUGCUCAACAGAUGGGCCGCUGGAGAUACUACAGAGCUAGGGAGUGGGAGAGGCAGACGGUAUUCAGUGGGUAGGGGUAAAAUCCUCUGAUCCAUUGAGGACCACCA
rnacentral:rRNA from 1 species